UCUGAUCUGCAUCAGGUUCUGCUGUCACCAAGUGACAAGACUCUGAACAGUGUGUCUGAGUGUCUGUUCCCUCGAUACGGUCGAGGGAGAGGCCAGCAGAAAGGCUUCAUUGCCCUCUUGUGGUGAAAAGAUAUGACAUCAGUCUGCCUUCCAACAGGCCUCCCAUGAACCUCCACAUGAAUACUGUGCGUGAGGAUGUCUGUCAUGACGAGGUAGGAAAAGAGAAGGAGUGUGUGCAGCUGGAGAGAAAACAGAAGUUUACCUGACGAGAUGAAGCUUGGUGGCGUGUUUCUCGUUGGGGACGGAGUCAGAGAUCCACAGGUGGACUCUGAGAGGGAGGGAGCAGACAGCCAGUGGAGUUAUGUGCCAGAGUAUUUGUUGGUCGUACCUGGAGUCUUGUCAUCACAUCACAUCAGGUGCCAGGUGUUCAGUGGAGACUCCAGGAAGUGAUUGUGCCCAACCAGGUGGACAGGGACAUGUUGAAACUGGUGCUCUGCUGUGGAUGUGCUGGGCUGAUGAUGGGCAUCAGUGGUCCGGUCUUACCC